rnacentral:tRNA from 1 species
GCCUUCGUGGUGUAAUGGUCAGCACACUCGGCGCGUAUUCGAGAGGUCCGAGGUUCGAGUCCUGGCGAGGGCA